CAACAGUGGAGCAGCCUCAUUAAAUAUGGUUCUUCGUUCUUCUCAUUUUCUAAAAUAAUGCUCUCUCGAAGCAUUAUAACCAUCAAUAGAGGUUGCAACCAAGUCAAGCUUUGCUCUCCACCAAUUUUCUCUCUCCCUUUCGCGUAGUUGGAAGCAUCGUUGGAGAUUUCUCCAUCAAUUUCUCACUUCACAAACAGAAGAAAAAUCAAAACCGUAAAACAUUAUUUUUCACCACAAACUGUUCAAUCUCCGACAAGAUUCUAGUAGAUCUCAUCGUCAAUAUCUGAAUUGCUUUAUGAGAAACGCUUAAUCGAGAGAUAUAGUGCGGUUCAUCUCUUUUUAUCUACCCCUUUGGAAAACAAUUUCUAGGUUUUAUGUUUGGUUUCUCAGUAACUUACAUUCAAAUUUCAUUUUCUAGCUAAAAAGAAAAAGGAUAGUCAUAAAACUGUAAAUCUGAAAUUUAAAUGGUUCAAACUCGUGGAUAGCACAAGGAGCAGCUCAAGCGUUUAGUGUUAUCGACCGUCUGAUUUUAGUUUUAUCCGUUUCGGAAUGUAUAGGAAUCUGCUUUUGCUUGUUCUGGAUGCACGUUAGCAGGACUAACGGAAACCGAGUCUUCCCGUCGAGUCGCCGGCGUUCCUGUUCCGAUCAUCGCUUCAAACGUUUCUCCUCUGUUUCUAGUGUCUGUUUAUACUGAUGGAUUAGACAAAAUUGUUCGGCAGUUCAGAAAAUCAAGACCUAGAUUAUUUCCCCCCUAAAUCUUACGAUGGACACCUGACUGUUCUUCCGCCUUUGGAUGUUCUAGAAGCUGGAAUUUCCGAGUGGAAAAUGUCUCUCGUGGGUCAGUUCCUGGGAGUUUCACCUUCUUUUGCCUCUUUGCAAAGAAUCGUCGACAACAUCUGGGGAAAUGCUCUGCAAGGUUCACGAGUACAGGAUUAUGGGAAAUGUGUAGUUACACUUACAAGGGAGCCACUUACUAUGGAGGACAUCAUGCCAGUCAAAACUGAGAUGCGAAGUUUGUAGGUGCCUAUUUAGUUGAAUAUCCUUUUUGUUCGCUGCAUUUUGUGGCUGUAUUUGGUCAAAGUGCUUGCUGGUUGUAGUGUUUUUGGUCUCUAGUUAUUGUAACAGUUUCGCUCAUGUUGGUCAGGGAUGUGUACAGAUCAAAAGUGUUGGUUAGCGGGUAUCUCUUUUCUGGGUUGUAGUGUUGUUUGUAAGACGGUGUACCCUGUUCUUUUUAAUAUCUCUUCUUAUUUAUAGUACUACUCAAAUCAAAUGACAGUAGCAAAUUAAGUAAAUAUGCACAAUUGUGAGAAAUAAACUUCAGAAAGAAUAUAAUGCUAUUUUAGAAUGUAAUAAUAAAAACUGAAGUAGAGAGAUGAAUACAGUUAGGUUCUAUAUAUAUAUUCAUCUUAGACGUUAAAAAUCUAUACAUGUUACUAAGGCUAGAAAAAGGAAAGGAAUCAGAAAUCAAAUCCAUGCAAAUCCGUUCUAUGACCCCUCACAUAAGCUCUGUGAAUCAGCAUAAGAUUAUGCACAACCUAUUACAUAAAAGAGGGACCAGAAUCAAAUUUUUAAAGUGUGAAGCCCAUUUGACAAGUAAUCCAAGUUGAAAAAAAGACCCAAAAUAAUCUUGUCAAAAAGAAACAAUUACCAGUAUAGCAUUUUAUAGGGUGAGCUCGUUUUGCCCCAAGUAAUUGUGUUCCUAUGCUUUGUUCCAAGUAAUUGUGUUCUACUUCAUUUGGUAAUUGGCCCCGGUUGGCUCCUCGAAGCUCCUUCAAUCCAUAAAUUUUAACUAACAUAAAAGCUUUAGUUUUAGCCAUGCUGGAUUUUUUUCUUUAAAAUUAUCGAAUCGGGAUCUUUCAUGGUUCGUAUGAUAUUCAUGAUUAACUCGUGUAUCUGUUUUUCCCCCCUUAGAAAGUUGUAUACCACAUAAAGAAUACAUAUGGACUAGCCAGAGAUAACUAAGCACUGUCGCAUUGUCUCCGUACAGCCUCAUCGGAAGAAAAUAAUCCAGGAAAUAAUUCAUAGAUUACAAGCGUUCUACUUCAUUUAUUGACCAUUUCUUGUUCUCUUCAGGGAAUUCUUCUUGCUUUCUACAGGUCAAACAACCAAACAGCUAAAAGGAUUAUUUUCUACAGGAUAAUAUUGUUUCUGACUAUGUCCAAUUCCUUUUUUUUUUAAGCUUUGUUUCUGAUAAUUGGUACUUAAUCUGACAGAGAUGGUGUGAGUGAAGGUCAAUUCAGUCAAGCUUUACUCCAUAAAGUGGUUUCUAUUCGUAAAGUAUUCAAAGGGUUAUGUUUUGUGGUGUUUUGUAGAACAGUGUU